GGCCCCCUCUCCCUUCCUUCCACACCUCCUCAAUUGUUCCCAUAAACUGAGUGACAAACUUCAGGCAUUGCCACACAACUCCAGGAAGGGCGGAAAGAAGAGGCACUCCGACCUAAACAAUAAGAGAAAGAAAACAAAAUCCAAGAAGGUCAAAGGCUGAAGAGAGCAGAACACAAUGGAUCUUGCCAACAACAGAGGCCUCAACCUUAUGCUGAAUUUCGUCCUGAUCAUCAUGGUUCUUCUUCUUAUGUUUAUCCUGGUAAAACUACUGUGAGAAGCUACGUUUGGAAAACUUACUGUACCAUGACCAAUAAGAACCGCCAAGGAGGGUAUAACCCAUCUGGGACUUAAAGUUAUAAGGACAUUCCUUCCAGACGGUUACUCAUUGCUGACAACUGAGAUGACACUGGGGCUUUAAACAUCCCAGAACCUUUGAGCUGACCAAUCUGGUGAAUAUCCUCAAUUACAUACAAUAUCAUACAUGACCAUAAAGCUGGCGUGAUGGAUGCCAUAAUGAAAUAUCUGCCACUACCAGCGCCAAGGAUUGGAGCAACCUGAAGUGUCUACAAUAAGACAACCCUUAUCCAUUCCCUCUAAAAAUCCCAGAUCACCGAGGAGCUGAUGAGAAAACCCUGGAAAGAAUUACUUGUAUAUAGCCGUCAACCUUAAUAUUUCUUGAGAAAGCAGAAUGUGUAGGAGGUUACUGUACUAACCUUAGAUCUAGCUAUUCCUUCACAAGUUAGAGGGCAUUAGAACUAAGGCAUGCCAGGGAACACUGAUAUCUAGACAUUUACUUGCACUUUUGUAUAACUUUUUUCUGAAUUCACUUCUAAGAAGUAUGAAAUCCAUAAAUUAAUAAAAUAUGUACACUGAG